CAAGAAGUGGCUCAUGGUCAGCGCCAUAUCUUGUUUUUCCUGAUUAAACAGAGCUUCUUAAUUUGAUUUCAGUGUUGUUCAUCCAGUGAUGUUCUAUAUACAGUUGUCUUUAGGUUGUAAUUUCCUUCUUGGAUUUUGAAAGUACAGUAUUUGGAUCUUCUUGGCAGGACCCUAUUACUCUGUUUCCUGCUUCAUUUCAUACGCCAAGACCACAUUUUUCCUUUGUUUGAAAUACUAUUUCACUUCCAACUCUAGCAUUUCAGUCUCCUAAAAGUAGUAUGAGGUCUUUCUGGUGUUGUGUUGACAUGUUAUUGCAAGUCAUUCAACUUCUAUUUUUUUCUUAAUCUGCGGUUGGAAUAUAGACUUGGAAUGUGUACUGGACUUGAAUUGAGAUCAUUAUGUCAUUUUUAAUUGUAAGCAAGCACAGACUUUGGCACUCUUUUGUUAACCAGGAUGCCUACUACAUUUCCUUUAUGAUUUUCAUGGCCACAAUGAAAGAUCUGAUGCUCCUCUAAUGUGACGUGACCUGCUCCAGUGCAUUUCAGUUUGCUGAUUCCUAAAAUAACAUUCAGUUUCAGCAUUUUUCUCUGACAACAUCCAAUUGAUGGUUCUGACAUUCCACUUAACAAUAGAGAAUUGACAAAAGCAAGUUGUUCUGUAGGCUUGGAGAUAGUAGAAGACAGGACUCUGCUGAAAACUGGUUUGGAGGGCAAUGAAGGUCCUUCUCCUCUUCACAAGGAUUCCUAAGGUAAUGGAGUCUUUGGCUGGAGAUAGGCUUGAGUGCACACAUACACAUUUUCCAUCUAGUUUUUUGGCAGAAUAAAUGACUCCCUCCAUGCAAGAUAAUAUCCUUAAAUCAUAAUUGCAGGCAAGUCAGUUGAGCCACACUGUUGAUGCCAUGUG